UUCCGGUUGAUCCUGCCGGAGGCCAUUGCUAUCGGAGUCCGAUUUAGCCAUGCUAGUUGCACGAGUUCAGACUCGUAGCAGAUAGCUCAGUAACACGUGGCCAAGCUACCCUAUGGAGAGAGAUAACCCCGGGAAACUGGGGCUAAUACCUCAUAACGCUCCCUCACUGGAAUGUGGGAGCCGGAAAUGCUCCGGCGCCGUAGGACGUGGCUGCGGCCGAUUAGGUAGACGGUGGGGUAACGGCCCACCGUGCCCAUAAUCGGUACGGGUUGUGAGAGCAAGAACCCGGAGACGGAAUCUGAGACAAGAUUCCGGGCCCUACGGGGCGCAGCAGGCGCGAAACCUUUACACUGCACGCCAGUGCGAUAAGGGGACCCCGAGUGCGAGGGCAUAUCGUCCUCGCUUUUCUCUACCGUAAGGUGGUAUUGGAAUAAGGGCUGGGCAAGACCGGUGCCAGCCGCCGCGGUAAUACCGGCAGCCCGAGUGAUGACCGAUUUUAUUGGGCCUAAAGCGUCCGUAGCUGGCCAGACAAGUUCGUCGGGAAAUCCACCCGCUCAACGGGUGGGCGUCCGGCGAAAACUGUCUGGCUUGGGACCGGAAGACCCGAGGGGUACGUCUGGGGUAGGAGUGAAAUCCCGUAAUCCUGGACGGACCACCGGUGGCGAAAGCGCCUCGGGAGGACGGAUCCGACAGUCAGGGACGAAAGCUAGGGUCUCGAACCGGAUUAGAUACCCGGGUAGUCCUAGCCGUAAACGAUGCUCACUAGGUGUGGCACGGGCUACGAGCCUGUGCUGUGCCGUAGGGAAGCCGUGAAGUGAGCCGCCUGGGAAGUACGUCCGCAAGGAUGAAACUUAAAGGAAUUGGCGGGGGAGCACUACAACCGGAGGAGCCUGCGGUUUAAUUGGACUCAACGCCGGU
rnacentral:rRNA from 1 species